rnacentral:tRNA from 1 species
GCGGACGUAGCUCAGUUGGUAGAGCGCAACCUUGCCAAGGUUGAGGUCGC